rnacentral:rRNA from 1 species
UACAGAGGUCUCAAGCGUUGUUCGGAUUCAUUGGGCGUAAAGGGUGCGUAGGCGGCGCGGUAAGUCGGGUGUGAAAUCUCGGAGCUUAACUCCGAAACUGCAUUCGAUACUGCCGUGCUUGAGGACUGGAGAGGAGACUGGAAUUCAUGGUGUAGCAGUGAAAUGCGUAGAGAUCAUGAGGAAGACCAGUGGCGAAGGCGGGUCUCUGGACAGUUCCUGACACUGAGGCACGAAGGCCAGGGGAGCAAACAGG